rnacentral:rRNA from 1 species
GGGUUGUGAGGUUAAGCGACUAAGCGUACACGGUGGAUGCCCUGGCAGUCAGAGGCGAUGAAGGGCGUGCUAAUCUGCGAUAAGCGCCGGUAAGGUGAUAUGAACCGUUAUAACCGGCGAUACCCGAAUGGGGAAACCCAGUGUGACUCGUCACACUAUCAUUAACUGAAUCCAUAGGUUAAUGAGGCGAACCG